rnacentral:rRNA from 1 species
UACAGAGGGGGCAAGCGUUAUUCGGAAUUACUGGGCGUAAAGCGCGCGUAGGCGGGUCAGUAAGUCGAUUGUGAAAGCCCUGGGCUUAACCUGGGAAUGGCAGUCGAAACUACUGAUCUUGAAUGUCUGAGAGGAUGGCGGAAUAACCGGUGUAGUAGUGAAAUACGUAGAUAUCGGUUAGAACACCUGAGGCGAAGGCGGCUAUCUGGCGGCACAUUGACGCUGAUGCGCGAAAGCGUGGGGAGCAAACAGG